CACGUAGGGCGCAAGCGUUGUCCGGAAUUAUUGGGCGUAAAGAGCUCGUAGGCGGUCUGUUACGUCUGCUGUGAAAUCCCGGGGCUUAACCCUGGGCGUGCAGUGGAUACGGGCAGACUAGAGGCAGGUAGGGGAGAAUGGAAUUCCCGGUGUAGCGGUGAAAUGCGCAGAUAUCGGGAGGAACACCGGUGGCGAAGGCGGUUCUCUGGGACGGUACUGACGCUGAGACGCGAAAGCGUGGGGAGCGAACAGG
rnacentral:rRNA from 1 species